AAAUUGAAGAGUUUGAUCAUGGCUCAGAUUGAACGCUGGCGGCAGGCCUAACACAUGCAAGUCGAACGGUAACAGGAAGCAGCUUGCUGCUUCGCUGACGAGUGGCGGACGGGUGAGUAAUGUCUGGGAAACUGCCUGAUGGAGGGGGAUAACUACUGGAAACGGUGGCUAAUACCGCAUAACGUCGCAAGACCAAAGAGGGGGACCUUCGGGCCUCUUACCAUCAGAUGUGCCCAGAUGGGAU
rnacentral:rRNA from 1 species